GCCACAUCAUCACCAGUUCCCAUAUGAUCACCAAAGUUAAGCAAAUGUUAAGCCUGGUCAGUAUCUAAAUGGGUGACGUCUUGUGAAUACUAGGUGCUGUAA